rnacentral:rRNA from 1 species
GACGAACCGUCCGAACGUUAUUCGGAAUCACUGGGCUUAAAGGGUGCGUAGGCGGCGCGGAAAGUUGGGUGUGAAAUCCCUCGGCUCAACCGAGGAACUGCGCCCAAAACUACCGUGCUCGAGGGAGAUAGAGGUGAGCGGAACUUAGGGUGGAGCGGUGAAAUGCGUUGAUAUCCAUAGGAACUCCGGUGGCGAAGGCGGCGUGCUGGAUCUCUUCUGACGCUGAGGCGCGAAAGCCAGGGGAUCAAACGGG